ensembl:lncRNA MAMDC2-AS1 MAMDC2 antisense RNA 1
AAAGUACCUGGACCUCUAUGCCCAUGCUUCUAGCAGCCAGCCUCCUAAAAUACCUCUAGUUGAAGCCAAAGUUAGAAUCCUUCUACGAAACUACAGGAUUAAAAUGGAAUGGUUACAUGACCCAGGCUUGACCAAUCAGAUCAUCCAAACCCUUUGCCACAGUGAUUGGUCCAGGGAUACAUGCAUGAGCCAGCUCAGUACGCAAGGCCCAAACAAUUGGUGAUAAUGAAGAAACUCUACUACCAGACGUUGCGGGAUGCCUCAAUGACCUAAUCCAGUAAAUCACAGCUCCAGCUGUCCAUGAGCUCUGUCUACCAUCUGAGGAAUUGUUUCUUUUUAAUACAAAGACUGGCACUCAUCAGAUAAUAAUUUCUGGGAUAGAAGCAAAGUAUUGGUAUUUCUUUAAGUCUCUUGAAGGUGAUUCUACUGAGCUGGGAUUAAGAACACACUGCCUUAAUCCUUUCAUCAUCAACAAAA